UACGUAGGGGGCGAGCGUUGUCCGGAUUUAUUGGGCGUAAAGGGCCCGCAGGCGGCCGGCCGCGCCGCGCGUGAAAUCUCUCGGCUCAACCGGGAGGGGUCGCGCGGGACGGGCUGGCUCGAGCUCGGUAGGGGGACGUGGAAUUCCGGGUGUAGUGGUGGAAUGCGUAGAUAUCCGGAGGAACACCGGUGGCGAAGGCGGCGUCCUGGACCGAUGCUGACGCUCAGGGGCGAAAGCGUGGGGAGCGAUCCGG
rnacentral:rRNA from 1 species